UCUCGCAGAAGCAAUUCCCUGUUAUCUGGAGAGACUUCCCCUUUAUAAAACUUUAGAUAUAAUGCCUUACAGUGUCUAGAGAGAAAUGGAAAAACUGUGAAAGGAGAAAAAACCUCACAAGAUUCUGAAGGGAUAGGGAAGGAGAAUUUAUUUUGCCUAAGUGGGCACUGCAGCAGUUGAAAACCUCACUUAUCCAUCACUUAGUUUGAAUGAUAUUCAAAGACGUUGUUAUGUUUAUAGGUAAACUUAACAGAACUAGUUCUGUUGGUGUGAGUAAUGCAGCAGCUACAGAACACUGCUUUUUUAAAAAAAGAAAUGUAACCCUUACUAAUACUGCAGUUGUUAAUGGGAAUGGAGGUAUGGCUUAUGUGAAUCUCAGCUUUUGAUAUUAUUAAGUGCAUAUCCAGGGGUUAAAGAUACUAUUCCAAGAAUCUCAGCUUUUCAUUGUCUCAGCCUGCCAUGUCAUCUGCAAGAGUAAAACAUGUAAAGAUGGGGACUAGAAGUGGAUAUAAGUAGAAAAGGACAAGAAGGAGAUCAGAGAUGAUCACUUUCAAAAAUCAAGAGGAUUUCCCUGCAAAAUUAUUUACCCAUUUUCUGACACAAUUUAUAAAUAUAUUAGCAAAAACAAAGGCAUAACUCUCUGAGGAGAGUGUUCAGCCAGUCAUCAGUGUUUGCUACAGUAACAGUGCUGUUAGCAGAUUUUGAA